UACAGAGGUGGCAAGCGUUGUUCGGAAUUACUGGGCGUAAAGCGCACGUAGGCGGAUCUUUAAGUCAGAGGUGAAAUCCCAAGGCUCAACCUUGGAACUGCCUUUGAUACUGGGGAUCUUGAGUCCGGGAGAGGUGAGUGGAACUGCGAGUGUAGAGGUGAAAUUCGUAGAUAUUCGCAAGAACACCAGUGGCGAAGGCGGCUCACUGGCCCGGUACUGACGCUGAGGUGCGAAAGCGUGGGGAGCAAACAGG
rnacentral:rRNA from 1 species